UACAGAGGCCCCAAGCAUUACCCGGAAUUAUUGGGCGUAAAGGGUGCGUAGGUGGUCAUAUUAGUCGUCCGUUAAAUCCCUCGGCCCAACCGAGGACUCGCGGGCGAAACGGUAUGACUAGAGAGCGUGAGAGGUGCAUAGAACUCUAGGUGUAGGGGUGAAAUCCGUUGAUAUCUAGGGGAAUACCGAAAGCGAAGGCAGUGCACUGGCGCGUUUCUGACACUGAAGCACGAAAGCGUGGGUAGCGAAU
rnacentral:rRNA from 1 species